rnacentral:rRNA from 1 species
GGUUUAGUGAGAUCUUCGGAUUGGCACAAUCGCGGCCUAACGGAAGUGAUGGUGCCGAAAAGUUGCUCAAACUUGAUCAUUUAGAGGAAGUAAAAGUCGUAACAAGGUUUCCGUAGGUGAACCUGCGGAAGGAUCAUUACCGUUUGUCUUUUGACAACACCACUGUGAACUGUUCCAAGCAGGUGGGGUACUGGCCUCGCGCCGGUUUAAAUGCGCUCUGCUGCGCAGCCCCACUUGUGCAACCCCUUUGUGUAUUUUUACGCACUUGUUUACUCAUGUAUUGAUCGAGUCAAAUCGGUCAACUUGACAAAACGUGACAACUUCUAACGGUGGAUCUCUUGGCUCGUGCAUCGAUGAAGAACGUAGCCAGUUGCGAUAAGUAGUGUGAAUUGCAGAAUUCAGUGAAUCAUCGAAUCUUUGAACGCAAAUUGCGCUUUCUGGAUAUCCAGGGAGCAUGCCUGUCUGAGCGUCGUUUAAAAAUCUACACACCUCGGUGUGGGUAGGGAGGUUCUUCAGGUAACUCUAGGGAUACCUGUCUCUCGAUGUGUCUGAACCUUGCUCGUAUGUUGCUCACGUACUUGCAUGGAAGGCUCAACUUGCUUCUGUCCUUCUAAUGCUCUGUACUGCGGCGUACCUCAGGGUGCACUCUGGGGCCCUCGCGGCCCUAGACUUUCUUUUUUGACCUCAGAUCAGACAAGACUACCCGCUGAAUUUAAGCAUAUUAAUAAGCGGAGGAAAAGAAAAUAACUAUGAUUCCCCUAGUAACGGCGAGUGAAGCGGGACCAGCUCAAACUUAAAAUCUGCGAUGCUUGCAUCGCCGAAUUGUAGUCUAUAGAUUCGUUUUCAAGGCGAAUGCGCAGUGCUUAAGUUGCUUGGAACGGCACAUCGUAGAGGGUGACAAUCCCGUACGUGGCACUGUGC